rnacentral:rRNA from 1 species
UUUGACCUCAAAUCAGGUAGGACUACUCGCUGAACUUAAGCAUAUCAAUAAGCGGAGGAAAAGAAACUAACAAGGAUUCCCCUAGUAACGGCGAGUGAAGAGGGAAAAGCUCAAAUUUAAAAUCUGGCGGUCUACGGCCGUCCGAGUUGUAAUCUAGAGAAGUGUUUUCCGCGCUGGACCGUGUACAAGUCCUUUGGAACAAGGCGUCAUAGAGGGUGAGAAUCCCGUCUACGACACGGACUGCCAAGCGCUUUGUGAUACACUCUCAACGAGUCGAGUUGUUUGGGAAUGCAGCUCAAAAUGGGUGGUAAAUUCCAUCUAAAGCUAAAUAUGGGCGAAAGACCGAUAGCGAACAAGUACCGUGAGGGAAAGAUGAAAAGCACUUUGGAAAGAGAGUUAAACAGUACGUGAAAUUGUUGAAAGGGAAACGCUUGAAGUCAGUCGCGUCUUCAGAAAUUCAGCUGGGCUUCUGCCCUGUGUACUUUUCUGUGGGACGGGCCAGCAUCAGUUUCGGCUGCCAGAAAAAGGUGGGAGGAAGGUGGCACCUCCGGGUGUGUUAUAGCCUCCGAUCGUAUGUGGCAGCUGGGACUGAGGACCGCAGCACGCCUUCAUGGCCGGGGUUCGCCCACGUAACGUGCUUAGGAUGCUGGCGUAAUGGCUUUAAGCGACCCGUCUUGAAACACGGACCAAGGAGUCUAACAUGCCUGCGAGUAUUUGGGUGGCAAACCCAUAUGCGCAAUGAAAGUGAACGGUUGGGACUUCUGUCAUGGAAGGCACCGACGCCCGGACCAGACCUAUUGUGACGGAUCCGAGGUAGAGCAUGUAUGUUGGGACCCGAAAGAUGGUGAACUAUGCCUGAGUAGGGUGAAGCCAGAGGAAACUCUGGUGGAGGCUCGUAGCGAUUCUGACGUGCAAAUCGAUCGUCGAACUUGGGUAUAGGGGCGAAAGACUAAUCGAAC